GGCCCGAUGCAUUCUUUCGCAUACUCACGAUGUCGUCAGCGGAAGAAGCCGCGGCAACGCUGAAGGGGGUUGGACUGGAUCCGCAAGAUUUUUCGAUAAGCGCGGUGAAGCCUUCAGAGGUUCCUACAUACCUGCGGCGUGCGCGCCUCGGACUUUCAUUUCGCAAAGCCACUUAUUCACAGCUGGCUGCGUCACCUACCAAGAUCGCAGAAUACCUGGCUGCCGGACUGCCGGUCGUCUGCAACGCGGGGAUUGGCGAUACCGAGGAGUUGCUGGCCUCCGCUCAAGUCGGCGUCAUAGUUCGGGGGUUCGAUGAGAAGUCAUUGGUUCAGGCGGCGAGCGUCGCUCUCGUACUCACCGAAGACCCGGACGUGAAAGCCCGCUGCGUGGAGACC
rnacentral:misc_RNA from 1 species